UACGAAGGGUGCGAGCGUUGUUCGGAAUUACUGGGCGUAAAGGGUGUGUAGGCGGGUUUGUAAGAUAGCGGUGAAAUGCCUGGGCUUAACCGAGGAAUUGCCGUUAUAACUAUAGGCCUAGAGUAACAGAGAGGAUAUUGGAAUACCCAGUGUAGAGGUGAAAUUCGUAGAUAUUGGGUAGAACACCGGUGGCGAAGGCGAGUAUCUGGCUGUUAACUGACGCUGAGGCACGAAAGCAUGGGGAU
rnacentral:rRNA from 1 species